CCUACGGGAGGCAGCAGUAGGGAAUCUUCCGCAAUGGACGAAAGUCUGACGGAGCAACGCCGCGUGAACGAUGAAGGCCUUCGGGUCGUAAAGUUCUGUUGUUAGGGAAGAACAAGUGCUAGUUGAAUAAGCUGGCACCUUGACGGUACCUAACCAGAAAGCCACGGCUAACUACGUGCCAGCAGCCGCGGUAAUACGUAGGUGGCAAGCGUUGUCCGGAAUUAUUGGGCGUAAAGCGCGCGCAGGCGGUUUCUUAAGUCUGAUGUGAAAGCCCCCGGCUCAACCGGGGAGGGUCAUUGGAAACUGGGAAACUUGAGUGCAGAAGAGGAAAGUGGAAUUCCAAGUGUAGCGGUGAAAUGCGUAGAGAUUUGGAGGAACACCAGUGGCGAAGGCGACUUUCUGGUCUGUAACUGACGCUGAGGCGCGAAAGCGUGGGGAGCAAACAGGAUUAGAUACCCUGGUAGUCCACGCUGUAAACGAUGAGUGCUAAGUGUUAGAGGGUUUCCGCCCUUUAGUGCUGAAGUUAACGCAUUAAGCACUCCGCCUGGGGAUACGGUCGCAAGACUGAAACUCAAAAGUGAAUGACGNGNGAGAGNGCGACGACGACGACGAGGGAGAGG
rnacentral:rRNA from 1 species